GCGCCCGUAGUUCAAUGGAUAGAACACCAGAUUGCGGAUCUGGCGGUUGUGGGUUCGAAUCCCGCCGGGCGCA
rnacentral:tRNA from 1 species